rnacentral:rRNA from 1 species
GACGAACGCUGGCGGCGUGCUUAACACAUGCAAGUCGAACGGAAAGGCCCUUCGGGGUACUCGAGUGGCGAACGGGUGAGUAACACGUGGGUGAUCUGCCCUGCACUUUGGGAUAAGCCUGGGAAACUGGGUCUAAUACCGAAUAGCACCACGCGCUUCAUGGUGUGUGGUGGAAAGCUUUUGCGGUGUGGGAUGGGCCCGUGGCCUAUCAGCUUGUUGGUGGGGUAAUGGCUUACCAAGGCGACGACGGGUAACCGGCCUGAGAGGGUGACCGGCCACACUGGGACAGAGAUACGGCCCGGACCCCUACGGAAGACAGCAGUGGGGAAUAUUGCACGAUGGACGCAAGCCUGAUGCAGCAACGCCGCGUGAGGGAUGGCAACCUUCGGGUUGUAAACCUCAAUCAAUAGGGACGAAGCGCAAUUGACGGUACCUUAAGAAGAAGCACCGGCCAACUACGUG